UUUCUCUUUUGACAUUUUAUUGAAAAAGAACAAGAUCAUGUACAAUAAUAUUCACAUUAAAAAUAAGAGUCCUUCAUAGAAAAGUCUGUACACACUGCAUUUUAGCAGUUCCUCUGGAAGACUGACAGAAAAGGGGGAGGGGGGUUCUUUACACCAGGGGGUCUUUAUGCAGCUUUGUGGUUAAAAGCUUUUUAAUAAGCACUAAAAAACAUUGGUGUGUGCAGACGUUUGCAUCUGUAGUUACAGUACACAUGGGUUCCACCAACACGUUUCACUUUCAAAACGCAGUGAAAACAAUGAAAAGUCAUCGACGUGCAGUUCAAACUGGAAAGUGAUGCAAAAUAUUCUCCAGUCACAAGUUUGAAUUUUAGGACAAAAUAUACAUUUUUAAACACUCUUUAAAAAUAUAUUUGGCUUCAAAAAUCUUUGUCUUAUUUAUUUUACUCGUCCCUAUUUUUUGGGUUCUUCAGAUUUAAGGCUUGAUGAGGCGGCUCAGGAUGAAGGUGAAGAAAAUAUUCAUCAUUUAUUUAAUCAUUACAAACUGUACACACAAACCUUGUUAUUAAGUCAAUAUAAAGGGUCUACGUCUCUGUACCAAAUCUAUUCUGGAGUUUUUAUUCAUCUGAAAACACAUGACUAUAAUCUUAUAACAAUAAUAAUAAUUAUUAUUACCAUCAUUAUAAUAACAAUACACAAUAAUACUCUUUGGUGUUUUAAAGAAACAACCAUAAAACCAAAAAAAAAACAAAAAACCAGAAGCAUCGUUUUAGCAGCACUUUUAAGAACAUUCCAAUUCUCCCAUCAUCCUCUGCUCUCAGUGUGAGCCUCCUUUGUUAAAAUACUGACCGACCUUGUCAUGUCAUCCUCAGUCUGACCAGCAUCAAACAUCUUCUGAGAUCAGCAAGUACAGCAUUGAACCUGAACCCUGACCAUGACCUUUAACCCCUGCUGAAGGCCCAGGAGGACAACAACAGGAACAAAUGUGUCUGAGCUGAGAGGCUGAGACGUCGCCAGGCGAUUUCACCUGUAACUCUGACAGAGGUGAGAGUGACACCUCCCAUCACACACACACACACACACACACACACACACACACAGACUGUAAAUGAGUGUGUUGUCAGAAUACAGACUCCAUGCAGGUCUGUCAUCAGCCCCUGUUUUCAUGACUAUAACUUUCAACAGCACCAGAAAGGAAAGGUGAGUUCAUGAGCUGUUUGUUCGACUGCUGCCUCCAUCACAUGUAGUGUUCAAAUGUCUGACUUCAGUGUUGGACGUUUUUCACUCAGAAAUCAGUAACUGCAUCAGUGCUUUGGUGGUGACGCCUCAUUAACCGGCCUUCAGGCACCUUUGACCUCCAAAAAGCCUGGGGCCACGUGUACAAACGUUGUGUACAUUCUUUUCCAUGUUCUCGUUCAGAUGUAUCAGAACUGAAAUGUGCUGUACAACAGUUCCAGAGUUGGCGCUUUCAACGUUUCUACAGGUGUUGUGCCUUUGGUGAUGCUGGGAAACUGCUAAUAAUGUGAAAACCAGUAGUCAUCAGAGCGAUGUGCACGAUGAAGGGCCCAAAAAGACACUGACAUGACCUCCUGCAGCAGUACAGGGCCGGGGCACCGUUUGAACUACCAGAUGGGGCCCUCCGCAGAUCUUGAAAAACUGUCCGAUGUUGUGUACCGGGUGCGGCUGCUUCUGGUUCUUCACAGAGAUCGUCCGACGCUCUACCAACCACGAGUGUCUGAGCUAAAAUCACUGCUUUUCUCUUUGGAGUUUGGUCUGUGAGCUUUCAACUGAAGAAUAACUAACCUAAAGUACAUGAACUAUGUGGGCGGAGUCUGCAGCAGACAGCUUCCUGAUUGAUGAAGAAUGUGUGUCUGUAUUUUUUUAUUAUUAUUCUUAAUCCACAAACGGAGCUAUUUUCUAGAACUGUUGCUUUGGACUACGACGUUUGGCUGACGGUUCAGGUACUUAAGAACGGGAUCUGGAGACACAGCUAACUUGAUGUAACUCUUUUCACAGAGCAGAAGAACUGAUGUAUGGAGUCUUCAGCAGAUGUUCACCAACAGCAGGACCAGACAGAGAUUGAAAUGAUGGUUCUGCGUGGACUGUUUUGUUCUUUCUAAUCCUUCAGUUUUUGCUGUGAGUCCUGGUUCUUCCCUCCAUUGUUCCAGCCUUAAACUCCUCUGAGACCUUCACUCACAUUGGCUCUGCUCCUCUUUGUUCUCUCAGCUUCACUCAGGUUUCAGAGUUGGAAAACCUUUUCUUCUCUCUGGGUCUGAAGAGACUCCCUCAGAUCUGGGUCGACGGAAACGGGAGACCAAACGUCAUCAGUUCAGCAGCGCAGCAGUGCACCCUGGGAAAACAGUGAGGGCUCCAUUGUUCCCCAAGGAUGAAUCGUUUCCCGAGCAACAUAAAGAACCUGUGAAGAACAUGACCUCAUCCUCCGACAGACCUGACUCAGCUUCAUGAAGUUUAAAUGAAUCCUGGACGACCAUAGGAACGUAGAUUGACCGGUAAAUCCUUCUUCACCAGAAAACUCAGCUGGCCUGGGAGCUCCCCCUAUAGAAGAGCUGGAGGAAGUGUCUGGAGAGAGGGAAAUCUGGGUGUCCCUGCUCAGACUUGUCUCCCUGCGACCCAGCCCCAGAUAAGCAGACGAUGAUGGAUGGAUGGAUGAAUCCUGGAUUUUAGUGAAGAGCUGCUGACUGCCAUUAUGAAACAACAGGAGGAAACACAGACACUGCUACUCCGAGCUUGAGGACGGAUCCUGGAUCACUGUCACGCCAUCAGACACCACUGAAGGUCUGGGACCAGAACUAUGAGUAGGAACCUUCAGGUUUGAUGUAAGACCUGAUGGUUUCUUCACACAGCGUGAACGUAGAGCCUGAAGACGGAGCUGAUGUAGCCUUCAGGUUUAAAUGUAGAGAGGAAGUCUGUGUGCCACCAGGGGGCGACUGCACUGAUUUGAAUUAAAUUAUUGUUUUCCUGUAGUUCUCUGUAGGAGCUUGAUGUCAGUCCAGUCUUAGCUGUUUGGAUCUGAGCCUACAGGAGGUCCAGGAAGAGGCAGGUCAGCUCUGGAGGCCUCAUCUCUCCAGUGUCUCGACUUUAGCCUCAGGGAACUCAACUGUAUCAACAGGACCAGGACCUAAAUGUGGUCUCGCUGAGCCACAUUUCACUGUGCAGAGGAGCAGCUGGGAAUGACCUUUGACCUGAAGACAACACGUCACAACGAGGACAGGAAGGACAGGGUUUCUGAGUGACAACACAGGUGAGGUCCUUCAGGGUGAGGAUGACAGUCUUCAGGGAAGAGGUGGUCAUGGUUUUACACAAUCUCCUCCACCAUGGCCUUCACCAAGGUCAUUAGACCGGUUGUAGGUGUCAUCAAGGUCAUCAGGUGGACAACCAGGUCAUCAAGGUCAGUGGAAAGAUGUGACCUUCCUUAAGGUGAGUGUGCCAAAUCAUGGCCUUCCUCCAAACUCAUCAGGACUGAACGGGUCCUCGUCAUUUUCAGCAGCAGUAACGGCAGUAGCAGCAGCUGAGGUCGUUGGCAGUCGGUUCUGCUCGUUCAACAGUUGUUCUAAGGAGCCUCACAGCUGUGAAUGUGUGGAGUAGGAACAGAGCAGAACUCUGUGGUUCCUCCUCCCAGUGAAGACUCUCUGUUUUCCUCCUGGUGUCGUGCUUCGUUUUCUGGCUCUGUUUUACAACUUCCCGUGACGAGAGCCUGGACCAAACAUCAGACCUUCUCUCAGACCAAACAUUUACACCGACUGUAAUGAAUCUGCUAACGUGACUGAGUCGGAGACAGGAACUCAUGCGAACCUCCCAGCGCUCUUGUUUUCUUGAGCCGCUGUUGUUGAAAGGUCUGAAAUUUCACAUCAAUUAGAAAAGCAAAUGAACUCAGUCAGAGCGUGACGGUCACAUGACUGUGUUUGGACCAAACACGACUGCACUGACAAAAACAAACGUUGUCAUCUAAGACAACUUCAUCAAGCACCAGUGUCUGGUGGCUAACCUUUAGCUUUUCUUUGGCAGUUUUUCUGAGGCUGUGUUGACGUCAACAACACGUUGUUGUUAUUAUAGCUGUUAGUAGAAUAAUAGAACAAUGUACCGUGGUGGGGGGGCAAUAUUAGACAACGAGGGAGUGGUCAACCAUUUGUGGUCAUUAAGAUGACAAGACAAAGUAAUUCAACCGUAACGUACGACUUAGAGGAGCAUCAGAAAUACAAUUGGCCUGGAGGUUCUCCACUUCUCAGAAACUCAGAGUGAUGAUGGUGUUGAAGACCUGGACCUGGACCUGGACCUGGACCUGGACAGAGGUUCAACAGCACCUGAUCAAGAAGGAUAAAACAUCUCAAAGACCAGAAGCAUGGAAACAAUUGUGUAAUACUCUUUAAUUUAAACAAACACACACACACACACACUGCAGUGUGUGCUGUCAUCUUGAUGUCAUUUAGCAUGAGACCAAGUGGUUCUGUCUGUGGGCUGUGGACUGUUUGGGUUUGUUAGUAGUGAAGCUUCUUGUUGUGUGUGUGUGUGUGUGUGUGUGUGUGUGUGUGUGUGUGCACUGUCAUCAGUGUAUUUAUCCUGCAGCCACAGGACCAACUCUCAGUGCUGCAGCAGCAGUAGUAAUAACAGUAGUGAACACAGUCUGACUGAGCGUCAUUACAGCGGUGGUCCUGUAGGUGGGUUCAUGUUACUGUCAGUUUCCUAAAAAUAUCCCGACUGUUUCCUCUCUGCUCUCUGUGAUUCUCAUUAAACAGUGGAAAAUGUGCUCAGCAUUAAAUGACACAGAAUCUGCACACACACAC